rfam:Felis catus isolate Cinnamon breed Abyssinian chromosome B1, whole genome shotgun sequence.
GCCUGGGUGGCUCAGUCGGUUGAGUGUCUGACUUCGGCUCAGGUCGUGAUCUCACAGCUCGUGGGUUCAAGCCCCGCGUCUGGGCU